rnacentral:lncRNA from 1 species
AGAAACUGUUCUUCUGUUGUUAAGCAAAGAUCCAAUUUAUUUUUAAAGGCUUUAAUAUACCUUGAAGCACAGUAAUAAAGACAGUGAUGGCAGCUGUCCAUGCCCUACAGUGGGCACAGGCUUCCCACGAGCCAGGCUCUAGUGCCUAAGUCCUGGCUUCCCAUAGUAAGAAUCAUCGUAAUAACAUUGUUAACUUCAUAAAACUGUCAACUAAACGAGGGAGACACUCUCUGAGAAAAGCCCGUGGCAACAUUUGUAGAUAUGUAAAUCUAUAUCUAGUUAAGCAUAAGUAUUUUAAAAAGCAUUUAUUUAUGUGAUUCACUUUUGUCCUUUAAAAUAAUUAGUGUAUAGGUGAGGUAUGUACUGGUGUGCAGCUGCACAUGUGUGAGUGUGUGUGCAGAGGCCAGGGCAAGCUUGGUGUCUGCCCUCUGCUAUCUAUCUGCCUUAUAUUUGAGACAGAGUCUCUCGUUGGCCUGGAGCUCGGCCACCAGGUUGGGCUGGCUAGCUGGCAGUGAGGCCCGGGAUCUGCUGUCAGGGCCUCAGCACUGAGCUACCAAGCACAGGCGAUGAUGGCUGGCUUUCCAACGUGUGUUCUGGGGAUCAUGCUGAUGCCCUUAUUCACUGAAAAAAUGGGAAAAACUAGAAAAAAUGGGAUUUCCUCCCUCGCAUCCUAGCAUACAGUCUCAGUGUCUUUCCCCUUCUCUUCAGCUUCCCUCAACAACAGACCAGACUUCACUUCAAUGUUUUUAUACAACACAUAACAUUAUUUCCCUAGUGGAAGUACUAAUUACAAUUUAAUAAUUAUAAAUUGAUUAUUUUUAAAACAUUCUAUCAGUUAAUCAAAAUGAUUAAGUCAACAAUCAUCUAAGAAAAGACCUAAGUUUUACAAAUCAAUGCAUACAUUAUAUGUAAAAGUCUUUUUUUCUUCAAUCACAUAACAAUAACAGCAGCAGCAGGAGCAGCAGCAGCAACAACAACAAUGAAAGAAGUCAGGAGCUGUUUCUGCCCAGGAAACCGAGACCAAGCACCAGGCAGCUCAUGCUAAGACUCCACAGCGGGAGCUGGCUACUUCUAAAGACAGUCUAUAUGUCAGUAGAGUCACGGACAACCAGUGCAGCAGGGGAGGGAGCGGAAAGAGAGGUACCACCAGGGAUAUCAGAUAAUCUGUGGACAGGAUAAAACCUGAGCAGAGAAAUCAAAGGAAAACUGAGGGCCAAUGAAAGGCGAUGGGAACAGGGAAGGUAAGGCGCCAACGGGAGCAAAGCACAGUGGAGAAGGAGGAAACUGUCCAAACAAAGCCCAGCAUGGUCCACAGAAGCUAUGGAAACGCAGCAAUUGGAACAAAGGAACGGGGAGGCCUAAUGCCACUUCAGUGCACAGUUUAACAACGGAAUGUUUAUGUGCCGAGACUUCUGGAGGUCUUAAUCAAAAUGUCUAGUAUUAAGAACUGGAAGGGGCUAUGGUGUAGCCUUCUCAUUGGUUGAGUGCUUGCCCAGCAUGGCAUGCGCUAGGUAUGGCGGCACACACAUGCACUUGGGAGGUGGAGGCUGGAAGAGCAGAGUUCAGGGUCAUCUCUAGCUUCAGAGACCCUUUUGCC